CUGAACAGCAUAGGGAGAGGGGUGCGUGUGUGUUUGUGUGCAUAAUACAGAGCUGGUGAUAGAAAAUGAGAGGCUGGGAUGGAGGGAGGCAGACAGAGAGAGAAACCGAGACAGAAAACGUGAUCAAGGUGAAGAAUGGAACGGUGAACAUUGAGGAAGAAGAAACAGCCACAGUGAGAUGUUAGAUGAAGAGCUGAAGAGCAUAACAUGAAGACGGAGAAACACUGGAGGACUGUAUAGAAUGAAUCUCCACUCCACUGAAGGAGGACCGUAUCCAGCCAUUCUCUAUGAAGCUCCAGCUGUAUGCGGCAUGAUGACUGCCACCAUUCAUUACUCAUUCCACUCUGACUUCCCUAUUUUUGAUUAUUAUUCUCCAAUAGUCUCACCCUAAUUUGAACCACUUGCUUGGCUCUCGAGCUAAUUAAACCAUGCACCACAGUUCGGGGCUUAAUGUUUACAAAGGGCUUUGGCACACUGUACUAUACAAUUCUCCCUCCCACCUGUUUGUAUUCAAAUCUGCACUCAUCUUGGUUUCAGUGUUCACAGAAGUCAGCACUUUCCCUCAUCUUUUAAAAGUUUUAGACCUCGUUUUCUGUCCUCUCAUCCUCUUAUUUUCUCCCCCCACACAAAUGAAUAAUAAAUGGGGCAUCAU